CCUACGGGAGGCAGCAGUGGGGAAUAUUGGACAAUGGGGGGAACCCUGAUCCAGCCAUGCCGCGUGUGUGAAGAAGGCCCUCGGGGUGUAAAGCACUUUCAGUGAGGAAGAACGCCUGGUGGUUAAUACCCAUCAGGAAAGACAUCACUCACAGAAGAAGCACCGGCUAACUCCGUGCCAGCAGCCGCGGUAAUACGGAGGGUGCGAGCGUUAAUCGGAAUUACUGGGCGUAAAGCGCGCGUAGGUGGCUUGAUAAGCCGGUUGUGAAAGCCCCGGGCUCAACCUGGGAACGGCAUCCGGAACUGUCAAGCUAGAGUGCAGGAGAGGAAGGUAGAAUUCCCGGUGUAGCGGUGAAAUGCGUAGAGAUCGGGAGGAAUACCAGUGGCGAAGGCGGCCUUCUGGACUGACACUGACACUGAGGUGCGAAAGCGUGGGUAGCAAACAGGAUUAGAUACCCGAGUAGUC
rnacentral:rRNA from 1 species